rnacentral:rRNA from 2 species
AUGUGUGAUCAUACCAGCACUAAUGCACCAGAUCCUAUCAGAACUCCAUAAUGAAGCAAGCUUGGGCGAGAGUAGUAGUAGGAUGGGUGACCUCCUGGGAAGUUCUCGUGUUGCACCUC